ACGCUAGCUACAGGCUUAACACAUGCAAGUCGAGGGGUAGCAGGGUAGCAAUACCGCUGACGACCGGCGCACGGGUGAGUAACACGUAUCCAACCUUCCCAUAACUCGGGGAUAGCCUUUCGAAAGAAAGAUUAAUACCCGAUAGUACUUAGGAAAGGCAUCUUUUUUAAGUUAAAGAUUUAUUGGUUAUGGAUGGGGAUGCGUUCCAUUAGAUAGUUGGUGAGGUAACGGCUCACCAAGUCUUCGAUGGAUAGGGGUUCUGAGAGGAAGGUCCCCCACAUUGGUACUGAGACACGGACCAAACUCCUACGGGAGGCAGCAGUGAGGAAUAUUGGUCAAUGGGCGAGAGCCUGAACCAGCCAAGUAGCGUGAAGGAUGACGG
rnacentral:rRNA from 1 species